UACAGAGGGGGCAAGCGUUAUUCGGAAUUAUUGGGCGUAAAGGGCGCGUAGGCGGCUUGGCAAGUGGAUGGUGAAAUCCCUCGGCUUAACCGAGGAACUGCCGUCCAAACUGCUUCGCUUGAGACCGGGAGAGGUGAGUGGAAUUCCCAGUGUAGCGGUGAAAUGCGUAGAUAUUGGGAGGAACACCAGUGGCGAAGGCGGCUCACUGGACCGGAACUGACGCUGAGGCGCGAAAGCGUGGGGAGCAAACGGG
rnacentral:rRNA from 1 species